UCUUCUUUUGUUCUUUUGUUCUUUUCUCCUAAAUUACUUGUGCAGCCGUGACUCUCUUCUCCACCAUCACCACAACCCCAUCCGACCAGCCACCCAUACCAGUCACCUCCAGCCACCGGCAACCACCACUCUCCGGAACCAUCUUUGAAGGUCUUUAGAAGUUGGUUGGCUCAUUGGAUAUUAUUUGACGUUAAUUGUUUGAGCUUGUGAAGUUUGUUUCUACAAGAGGUCAGGAAAAGGUUCAGGAUCGACUGCCGGAGGCGUGACGGUGUGGUGUAGUCCGUGUUUAUUAGCUGUCUGUUUCCUUACCUUUAUUUAGGAUUGUUAGACAUUUUAAAUUGUUGAAUUUUAUUUAUGACUCAGUCACCUUCAACUUGAGCAGUUGUUUUGUUUCCGCUGUGAUAUUGACCACUAAGGUCUAGCAUUCUGAUUAAGUGGUUGUUUUAUUGCAUCUGCUUGAUGUAGACCGUUGGGGUCUUAAUUACUAUAGUGGUAUUGGAUUAUGUUUCUAGAGGCUUAAUGCCAUUGGAGUCCUCUUUAGGACAAUUAUUUAUUGUUGUGCAGGCUAGCGCUCAUUGUUCUAUAAAAUUGCACCACAUCUGUCUAA